rnacentral:lncRNA from 1 species
CAUGUACAGCACCAUCACCGAAGGUUCUGCUUAGGUAUGCACCUACAACACUAUACAUCAUUAUUUAUAUCUCAUGAAUGAUUACAUGAUGGAAGAUGAUGGUUGAUAGGAUAUGUACCAUCGGUUUCGGUGUUGCGAAUGUAUGUGGGGGCCGCAUUGACCGUAGGAGCAUGAUAUAUUAGUUCACUGUCGAAUUGUUGCGUGAGGGCUGAAAGUGUGAGAGUCGGACAAUGUGUGUGAGGGUUGGACAAUGUGCUAGUUAGAUCUGGACGUGGCAUUGCGAUCGAUUCAGCACACGGAGUGUUUUUCUUUGCAGCAUACUUUGCCUUUCUCUUUGCACUUGACUCCCCCCUUUCAUCCUCAGUCAUGGUUUUAGGGUGUUGCACGCGCCAUUCUUGCAACUUCUGAUUUUUUUCUCGAAGAUCGAUCACUCCGUCACCCACUUUUUUCCGAUAACUUGCUCGCCUCCGCGCGUUUCUCUGCUCAAUUUGCUCGUCUGUUAAGUCACCCUUGUGUUCUUUAUGAGGCUGUUUUUCAUCUAGAUUCUUGCUGGCUGCCUCCUCUUUUUUCUUUCGAUAAGCAGCUCUCCUCCGAGCCUUCAUUUGCUCUUUUUUCUCGUCAAGGUCCACCGAGAUUGGUUGACACCCAUUAGUGAUAUCACCGAGAGGUAGCAGGGUCACAUUUUGCAUAUCUGCACGAAGGGUUUAGGGUCUUCAUUGUUCAAGAAGAUUUCAUGUACUACACAAACACUUAAUUUAUAUAUCUGCACGGUCAGGUUAAACAAUGAUGUAUAGCUGGAUGUAGUUGGGUUGGUAUCAUCAAGAGGUAACAGGGGAACAUUUUGCAUAUCUGCCCGGAGGGUUUAGGGUCUUCAUUGUUCACCGAGAGGUAACAGGGCUGGUUGAAGCUACUUAUUUAUCUAGGGUUUAUUUUUUAUAGAAUCCCUCCGUGUCCAUACAUAAAGUCUGUAUGUAUUCUAAAGUCCUAUGUCUGCCAUAUAUCGAAUUGAACCUAAAUGAUCAGGAAUUGUAUGAUAACACAAUGGUCAACUAUUGGUCAAUUAUUUUUAUUCACUUUCUUGGUCAAUUAUUCGUGGGGUUGGGGUCUCGGAAACAUAUGUCACCUACAUUAUUCACUAAGAAAGUAUACAUACGGUAAUCAUAUUGCUCAAACAUAAACAUCCAUACCUGAUAUCGUAAUGGCUGUCAGAUUUUCAACUUUUUGCUUGCUGUCUGCCUCCUCUUUUUUCUUUCGAUAAGCAGCUCUUCUCUGAGACUUUAGUUGCUCUUUUUUAUCGUCAUCGUCCACCGUGGUUGGUUGACACACAUUAGUGAUAUCACCGAGAGGUAACCCACCCACAUACCGCAUAUCUGCAUGUGAAAUGAUCUUAACAUUAUACUCUGGAAUGGAGUUAGUAUAUAUAAUAUCAUCGCAGUGCCUUCCCAUAAAGCAUUCUUACCUGAUAUCGUAAGGGCAGACAGAUUUUCAUCUUGUUGCUUGACGGUAGCCUCCUCUUUUUUCUUUCUAUAAGCAGCUCGCCUCCGAGCUUUUUUCAACUCUCUUUUUUCGUCAAGGUCCACAGAGGAUGGUUGAUCUGCAUUAUUGAUAUCACUUUGAGGAUGGCGUGGAACAUUAUGCGGCCUCUCUUGCCAACUGUCAUGUUGCAUGCUAGCAUAACAAUAUAUUGGACCGAAACAAGGCAAAGUUGUAGGCACAUGGUCUUAACCUUUCGGCAACAUAAUACUUACCCGAAAUCAGAUGGGAAGGUUGAUGAUCAUAUGUACUUUCACAAUCGGCCUGUUCAAGUAUCAUCCUGUCCGAGUGAAUAAUAUGGACUCCUACAAGUCACACGCUUGAUCUUUUAGAAGGGGUUCUGCCCAAGUCUGUUAUGUAUGAUUUAUGACAUAAAAAGCAUAAAAGCAAUCUCAGUAUAUAUGCACAGCCUUAAUACCUGGACUACCUGGGUAAUUCUUGUGAACAUCGUCGGCUCCAGGUAUAACCCCUUCAUUAGAAUCGUCACCAAGAUGUCCCUCCAUCAGGCCUGCAACAUCUCCUGUGAUGGUGUUUGACAUGUAUAACAAAAUAUGUAGCUGAACACAUACAAGGAGGUAGUUAUAUACCUGGAGUAUCAUAUGUGCUAUCACCAUCGGUCUCAAGUAUCAUCCGUUCGGAGGGAGUAAUAUGAACUCCUAGAAAUAAAGAUGUUGAUACAUUAGAAUCGGUUGUGCCCAAGUCUUUUAGGUAUGAUUUUCCAACUAAGAAGGAUAAAAGUAAACCUUAUACCUGGACUACGUUGGUAAAUUUUGUCAACAUCAUCGGCUACGGGUAUAAUCCCUUCGUUAGAGUCGUCAACACUUGUCCCCUCCAUCGGGCCUGUAACACAUAUGUAGUUGAACAUAUAUACGUUUGACUUGUGUAGCACAAUUUAUAGGUGAACAUAUACCUGGAGGUACAUGUGAUGAAGUCGUCUGUUCCGCUGGCUUGUUGUGUGGAGUCCCCAUAUGUAACUAUUAAAAAAAGACACGUCCAACAGACUCAGGUAUCACGCAAAAAAUUAUAAACUGACUCUGCAAGCAGAUCACGUGAAAUACCAACAGUACUAAAGGCCCUUUCCCACUACAGAAAUUCAGUCCAUAAGGGCAGGUUGUUACAGAUUUAUUAGUCUUGCUAUAUAUAUGAAAAUAGAAAGACAUGUCGAACAGACCUUGCUACUUUGCAUUUUCCUGUAUUUUUUUAGGCCACGAAAUGUAGUUUUUCUGCAAAGCUAUAGUAAUUUUGAACCAUGUCUGUUUGCUGCUGGAUACUAAACUACUGUUGUUUGUUUACAGUGCAUCUUCUGUGUUAUUUACAGUGCAACAAGAACUGUAAUUCUAAUGCAAAACUACAGUAAUUUUGAACCAUAGUUUUCAAGUUGUUUGCUGCUCCAUACUAAACUACUGUUGUGUUUUUAUAGUGCAUCUUCUUUAUUAUUUACAGAGCAAUAAGAACUGUAAUUAUCCUGCAAGGCUAUAGUAAUUUUGAUCUUUGCCUUUUAAGUUGUUUGCUGCUCCCAGUUUUACAGUGAGCUUACUGGGUUUUUAAUGUGUAUGUGUCACAGUAAAUAGCUUUGAUGCAUGUAUCUAUCUCAGGUAACACUAAUUUUCUAGUCUCUACUCAUGUUGUUUUUCCCUUUUUACAGUUAGCUAAAGGCUUUGUACUAUGCGGGUGUCACUGGGAAUAGCUUGAUGCAUGUUUGUAUGUUUUUCGGUCAAAAGGAUUUCACAAUCCAACAGAGAAAUACCCAUGGCUCUUCUUUUUGCUUGUUCUGUCAGAUUUCUUACUGUUGAACCUUAGCAAUGCUAGAGAGGAUUUUUUGACAGAACUACUACUCAUGUGAUCUUUCAGCCCUUGUUCCUCUAGAGAACUUUUGAGUAGUGGUGGGAUCUGACAAUCAGAGCUCUCCUGUGACCACAGAGUGAUGCUAGAGACACUUGUAUGGAUGAUUUGCAGUGC